UGGGGAAUUUUGCGCAAUGGGCGAAAGCCUGACGCAGCAACGCCGCGUGUGUGAUGAAGGUCUUUGGAUUGUAAAGCACUUUCGACCGGGACGAAAACCCGUUGGCUAACAUCCAACGGCUUGACUGUACCGGGAGAAGAAGCACCGGCUAACUCUGUGCCAGCAGCCGCGGUAAUACAGAGGGUGCAAGCGUUGUUCGGAAUUAUUGGGCGUAAAGCGCGUGUAGGCGGCGUGACAAGUCGGGUGUGAAAGCCCUCAGCUCAACUGAGGAAGUGCGCCCGAAACUGUCGUGCUUGAGUGCCGGAGAGGGUGGCGGAAUUCCCCAAGUAGAGGUGAAAUUCGUAGAUAUGGGGAGGAACACCGGUGGCGAAGGCGGCCACCUGGACGGUUACUGACGCUGAGACGCGAAAGCGUGGGGAGCAAACAGG
rnacentral:rRNA from 1 species